rnacentral:rRNA from 1 species
GCGCGAAAGAUCUUCGGAUUGAGUAGAGCGGCGGACGGGUGAGUAACGCGUAGGAAUCUACCCAGUAGUGGGGGACAACUCGGGGAAACUCGAGCUAAUACCGCAUACGCCCUAAGGGGGAAAGCGGGGGACCUUCGGGCCUCGUGCUAUUGGAAGAGCUUGCGUUGGAUUAGCUUGUUGGUGAGGUAAUGGCUCACCAAGGCGACGAUCCAUAGCUGGUCUGAGAGGAUGAUCAGCCACACCGGGACUGAGACACGGCCCGGACUCCUACGGGAGGCAGCAGUGGGGAAUAUUGCGCAAUGGGGGCAACCCUGACGCAGCCAUGCCGCGUGUGUGAAGAAGGCCUUCGGGUUGUAAAGCACUUUCACUUGGGAAGAAAAGUUCGUCGUUAAUAGCGGCGAGCCGUGACAUUACCUUGAGAAGAAGCACCGGCUAACUCCGUGCCAGCAGCCGCGGUAAUACGGAGGGUGCGAGCGUUAAUCGGAAUUACUGGGCGUAAAGCGCGCGUAGGCGGUUUGUUAAGUCGGAUGUGAAAGCCCCGGGCUCAACCUGGGAAUUGCACCCGAUACUGGCCGACUGGAGUGCGAGAGAGGGAGGUAGAAUUCCACGUGUAGCGGUGAAAUGCGUAGAUAUG